AACGAACGCUGGCGGCAGGCCUAACACAUGCAAGUCGAGCGGACCUUUCGGGGUCAGCGGCGGACGGGUGAGUAACGCGUGGGAAUAUGCCCUUCUCUACGGAAUAGUCCUGGGAAACUGGGGGUAAUACCGUAUACGCCCUUUGGGGGAAAGAUUUAUCGGGGAAGGAUUAGCCCGCGUUGGAUUAGGUAGUUGGUGGGGUAAUGGCCUACCAAGCCGACGAUCCAUAGCUGGUUUGAGAGGAUGAUCAGCCACACUGGGACUGAGACACGGCCCAGACUCCUACGGGAGGCAGCAGUGGGGAAUCUUAGACAAUGGGGGCAACCCUGGUCUAGCCAUGCCGCGUGAGUGAUGAAGGCCUUAGGGUUGUAAAGCUCUUUCAGCUGGGAAGAUAAUGACGGUACCAGCAGAAGAAGCCCCGGCUAACUCCGU
rnacentral:rRNA from 1 species